rnacentral:rRNA from 1 species
GCCAGACUCCUACGGGAGGCAGCAGUAGGGAAUCUUCGGCAAUGGGCGAAAGCCUGACCGAGCAACGCCGCGUGAAUGAAGAAGGCCUUCGGGUUGUAAAAUUCUGUUAUAAGGGAAGAAAGGUGAUAGGAGGAAAUGACUAUCAAUUGACGGUACCUUAUGAGAAAGCAACGGCUAACUACGUGCCAGCAGCCGCGGUAAUACGUAGGGGGCAAGCGUUAUCCGGAUUUACUGGGUGUAAAGGGAGCGUAGACGGCAGCGCAAGUCUGAAGUGAAAUGCCGGGGCUUAACCCCGGAACUGCUUUGGAAACUGAGCAGCUAGAGUGCAGGAGAGGUAAGUGGAAUUCCUAGUGUAGCGGUGAAAUGCGUAGAUAUUAGGAGGAACACCAGUGGCGAAGGCGGCUUACUGGACUGUAACUGACGUUGAGGCUCGAAAGCGUGGGGAGCAAACAGGAUUAGAUACCCCGGUAAAG